CCUACGGGUGGCUGCAGUGAGGAAUAUUGGUCAAUGGGCGCAAGCCUGAACCAGCCAUCCCGCGUGCAGGAAGACGGCCCUAUGGGUUGUAAACUGCUUUUCCAGGGGACGAAUAGUUUCUACGUGUAGAGACCUGACGGUACCUUGGGAAUAAGCAUCGGCUAACUCCGUGCCAGCAGCCGCGGUAAUACGGAGGAUGCAAGCGUUAUCCGGAUUCAAGGGGUCGAAAGGGUGCGAAGACGGAUUAAGAGAAAUCCUACAGCUUAACUGUAGAACUGCCAUUGAUACUGUUAGUCUUGAGUUUGGUUAAGGUAGGCGGAAUGUGUAAUGUAGCGGUGAAAUGCUUAGAUAUUACACAGAACACCAAUUGCGAAGGCAGCUUACUGGACCGACACUGACGCUGAGGCACGAAAGCGUGGGGAUCGAACAGGAUUAGAUACCCGUGUAGUC
rnacentral:rRNA from 1 species